UACGUAGGGUCCGAGCGUUGUCCGGAAUUACUGGCGUAAAGAGCUCGUAGGUGGUUUGUCGCGUUGUUCGUGAAAACUCACAGCUCAACUGUGGGCGUGCGGGCGAUACGGGCAGACUUGAGUACUGCAGGGGAGACUGGAAUUCCUGGUGUAGCGGUGAAAUGCGCAGAUAUCAGGAGGAACACCGGUGGCGAAGGGCGGGUCUCUGGGCCGAUACUGACGCUGAGGAGCGAAAGCGUGGGGAGCGAACAGG
rnacentral:rRNA from 1 species